rnacentral:misc_RNA from 1 species
GUUGAAGAACGUAGUGAAAUGCGAUAAGUAAUGUGAAUUGCAGAAUUCAGUGAAUCAUCGAAUCUUUGAACGCACACUGCGCCCGCCAGUAUUCUGGCGGGCAUGCCUGUCUGAGCGUCAUUUCAACCCUCAAGCAACUUCUGCUUGGUGUGGGGGAUCGGCCGUUAAACGCCGCCCCCGAAAUCUAUUGGCGAUCUCGCUGUAGCUUCCUAUGCGUAGUAGUAACAUCUCGCAUCUGGAGAGCGGCGCGGUCAUGCCGUAAAACACCCAACUUCACAGGUUGACCUCAGAUCAGGUAGGAAUACCCGCUGAACUUAAGCAUAUCAAUAAGCGGAGGA